rnacentral:rRNA from 1 species
CCUACGGGACGCAGCAGUGAGGAAUAUUGGUCAAUGGGCGGGAGCCUGAACCAGCCAAGUCGCGUGAGGGAUGACGGCCCUACGGGUUGUAAACCUCUUUUACCGGGGAGCAAAUCGCGCCACGCGUGGCGCGUGAGAGAGUACCCGGGGAAAAAGCAUCGGCUAACUCCGUGCCAGCAGCCGCGGUAAUACGGAGGAUGCGAGCGUUAUCCGGAUUUAUUGGGUUUAAAGGGUGCGUAGGCGGGGCGACAAGUCGGCGGUCAAAUGGCGGGGCUCAACCCCGGCCUGCCGUCGAAACUGCCGGC